AUUGAACGCUGGCGGCAUGCCUUACACAUGCAAGUCGAACGGCAGCGGGGACUUCGGUCCGCCGGCGAGUGGCGAACGGGUGAGUAAUGUAUCGGAACGUACCAUUGAGUGGGGGAUAACGUAGCGAAAGUUACGCUAAUACCGCAUACGAUCUAUGGAUGAAAGCGGGGGAUCGCAAGACCUCGCGCGAUUGGAGCGGCCGAUAUCAGAUUAGGUAGUUGGUGGGGUAAAGGCUCACCAAGCCGACGAUCUGUAGCUGGUCUGAGAGGACGACCAGCCACACUGGGACUGGGACACGGCCCAGACUCCUACGGGAGGCAGCAGUGGGGAAUUUUGGACAAUGGGCGAAAGCCUGAUCCAGCCAUGCCGCGUGCAGGAUGAAGGCCUUCGGGUUGUAAACUGCUUUUGUACGGAACGAAAAGGUUUGGCCUAAUAAGCUGAGCUCAUGACGGUACCGUAAGAAUAAGCACCGGCUAACUACGUGUCAGCAGCCGCGGUAA
rnacentral:rRNA from 1 species